AGCUCCAAUAGCGUAUAUUAAAGUUGUUGCAGUUAAAAAGCUCGUAGUUGGAUUUGUGGCGUACGGUGAGUUCCGGGCACUUGUUGUCUGAGUAACCUGCUGUUGCCAUCCUUGGGUGGAACCUGUGUGGCAUUAGGUUGUCGUGCAGGGGAUGCCCAUCAUUUACUGUGAAAAAAUUAGAGUGUUCAAAGCAGGCUUAUGCCGUUGAAUAUAUUAGCAUGGAAUAAUAAGAUAGGACUUUUUUGCUAUUUUGUUGGUUUGCGCAAAGAGGUAAUGAUUAAUAGGGACAGUUGGGGGUAUUCGUAUUCCAUUGUCAGAGGUGAAAUUCUUGGAUUUUUGGAAGACGAACUACUGCGAAAGCAUUUACCAAGGAUGUUUUCAUUAAUCAAGAACGAAAGUA
rnacentral:rRNA from 1 species